rnacentral:lncRNA from 1 species
GACAACUAGAAGCAGAGUAGAGCCCCAGACUAAGGUCUGUGUUUGAGAGGCUUUGGAAGUAAUCUCUGGGGUUUGGAUUAUUUUCACAAGGGUUAUGACGUUUUAUUCAAGUUUGUUGCUCCAUUUGCACCUCUGCAAUAAAAGCAAAAUGACAACCAGUACAUAAGGGGUUAACUUGACAAAGUAGACUUCCUUGUGUUGAUUUUUAAGUUUUUUUUUUCUUACUAUAUCUGUCUACAGGCAGAUACAGAUAGAUGUAUGAAAAUGUGCUUGCCUGUAAAAUUUGCAUUCAUAAAUGUGUUGCCGAUGGAUCACUUGGGCCUGUAAACAUACCAAUUAGCGUGACCACUUCCAUCUUAAAAUCAAAUCUAAAAAACAAAAUUUAUUAUUUUUUUUUCCCUUUCCCCAUUCCCUUGUAAAUACAUUUCGUUCUAUGUGACUUGGUUUGGAAAUAGUUAACUGGUACUGUAAUUUGCAUUAAA